GGGCCGCCGGGGUGCCCUCCCCAGGGCUGUGACGGGGGCCCACGGGGCUCUGCCAGGGGUGGCUGCCCAUGCGGGGACUAGGGAGGGAGCACGGUGUUUUCUGUUUGUUUCUGUCAGCUUCCUGCAGCUACUGCCCCCGGGCUGGAUGGCGCAGCAGUUUCCCGGAGCCUCCUGGGCUCUGCGCCACCCCCGGAGGCCUGACGGCUGCGCCCCGUCCCGCACGUGCCCUUCAGGUAUUUACGGGGCGUCUGCCGUGUGCUUGGAGCCCGACUAAUCGCGGAGUCUGCGGCUCUGUGCACUUGGGCCCCGUCCGGCUCUUCCGGUUCUGGAUGUCGCUCCCUAGGCCAGGCGGUUGUCACCUCUCCCCGGGAGCUACAGCCACAUCCAGCUGUGUCCCUGUAAACCCUUCUCCUCUCUCCAGCCGGCCUGAGCUUUCCAAAUCAAAUCUGAUCACACCCCUCCUUGGCUGAAAACUCUCCGUGCCUUCCCAUUGCUCUAGGGUCAAGUCAGACGCCUUGAUGUGGCCCGCAGGACCGACGGGUGUGACCCCAGCUGACACCUCCAGCAUCCAGACUCCAGCCACACCAGACGCCCAGGUCCCCACCCCCACGCUCUGAUCUCCAGGCCCUGCGCGUGCCUUUCCCUCCGCCUGCAGCGCUCUCUGCUACCUGGGCUUUGUUCUGGCCAAUUUCUACCUAAGCUUCAGGCCUUGACUUAGGCAGUCCUUCCUCCUGGCAGAAGCAUCCUGGAACCUCAUCCUCCCACCUCCGCACCCAGUCGUCCCUCAGGCCACUUCUCAGAGUCUGUGUAACUGCACGUUGGACUUGUCUCUCCCCCACCAGACUCUGAUGUCAUGAAUACAAUGUCUUGAAUAAUCAUAAGGGCAACCCCUCAACAGAGGAGCUCUUUCUUACCUUGACACGUGCCAGGCACUUUUUACGCCUCCCUGCGUCUAAGUCUCACCUCCCUCUGAGGCGGGAGCCAUCAUGAUCUCCAGUUUAGAGGAGAAAUUGAGCCUUAAGUCAAAAAUGUGCCCCAGUCAGGUAGGUAGCAGGUGGGGAGCCAGGACUCCAGCCCCAGCCGCCUGACUUCAGGGCCCACUCCGCCCCUCACUGGGCAGGGCAGGGCUGUGUCUGUCUGCUUCACGAUUAUGCAUCCUAGCUCCUAACCCAACGCCCGCCAUCCAGGAGGAACUCAGUGACUAUUUGUUGGAUGAAUAAAUAAAUGAAGAGAUGCUUGGAUUAGCUCCUCUAAAGGCAGCGAGAGGAAGGCGCGCCGUUACUGAUCCGCAACAGAAACCCCCGCAUGCAGAAGCGAGCCACGCUGAAGGCUCUCGGCCAGGCGGCACCGCCCGGGCUGCCUGCGGGGCUGGGCGGCGCUGCCUGGCCAGUGUGAUUGGGGGACACUGGGCAAUAUCCAAUCUGGUUGUCACAGCCGGGGCUGGGCAGUGCUCCUGGCACCUGGCGGGUAGAGACCAGGACCACUGCUAAGCCUGCAGUGUACCGGACGGCAGCCCCCACCCCAGCAGAGAAUCACCGGCUCCCACCGAAGAGUGAUUCAUGCAAAGGCUGAAAACCCUGGUGUGAACAAUGGAAUGGGUGAACCCUUGAGGAAGCGACGUUUGUGGAUGUGCCCUCUCUGCCGCCUUGAGCCCCCUUCAACAACGUAGGCUGUGACGGGGCAGGGGCUGGAGCGUUGUUGUGAAAACUGGAGAUUUGGAUGUAAACCUCAUAGCACCGUCCCUGGGACGUGACUUGAUACUUGUGCACCACUGUCUUUGGAGGGAAACUGCAGAGAGACAUUCAACAGAGGCAGAAGUCAUCCUGGUGAUUGGCAGAAGGAAGAACCCAGGCAUUUCGAUGUUCUUUGCAUUCUCCAGGCCCUGAAUACCCGCGGUUCCUCUCUCGCCCACCUGCUCUCCUGCCCGCACCUGGGGGAGGAAGGGAGCCAGCCCUGCGAGGCGACCUGGUCUGAGCACCAGGCCAUUUUCCCGGGAAUCCAGCUCUGAGGAUUUACAGCCAGGGUGGGUGCACACUGGAGGUCCCCUUACCUGUAAGUUAUUCCACCAAUAAUUAGAUUUCUUUCUGUUGUGGGAACCAGCAUGUGUAAAUUCACAGACACCUGGGAACAGACGAUAUAAGAGUCACUGGAGCCUCCAUGCUGCCUGAAAUACAUCUUCCAGGAAAGUGAUUUCUCUGGGCACGUAAGUUGCCGUGGUCCCAGGGGUAAUCGUAGCUCAGGCGCUGACGUUCCCAUAAUGCCGCGCUCAGUGAUGGAGUGUUCCUGGUCCCCUCGGCAGCCGGUCACCCGCCUGGCCCCUGCUCUCUGAGCGGGAGAGCCUCUCUGACACCUGCUGUCGCCUCUGAGGGCAAUACCUGCGGAGGGAGGGUGGGCAGAGGGGAGGAGAGACCACUCCCUUCCCAGCCCCUCUUCCAGGCCGUACUGAGCCUUCGUCCUUCAGGUGAGCCACUUGGAGGUCAAGGACACUUUGAACCACAGCACAAAUCACUAGCCGUUUGCAAUAGGAUAAAAUUAGGUACCGACUUCACACCGUGUACGGUGACAAAUUCCAGAUGGACAAAAGCUCUGUGCAUUAAAUAUAAAAUGCUAACAAAUUGGAAGACAAUGGAGGUGUGUACACACGUAAGACUGUUUAGUUUUACAUACAAUCCGAGCCGUCAUCCUUCUCCGGUACAGCCUUACAGACAGUCUCACACAGGUAGCCUCACAGGCCAGGUGGGGCAGAAGUCGGUAACUCAGUCUCCAUCUUUUUGUCUCUACAUCUCGGGGUGGGGAAGGCCUUUCUAAGUCUGGCGCCAAACCCUGAAGCCAAAAAAGAAAAAUUUGGCAGAUUGGACCACCUAAAAAUUAAAAAAGCAAAACAGAACUCUACCACGAAAAGCUCCACAUGAAAAGCAUAAAUAAACCAAAGCAUAAAUACGUACAUGACAGCCUGGGAGAAAGUGUUACUCACACAGUCUAAGCGGGCAAACUGUAAAUGCUGCAGCACAGCAAGUGCCCCUCCAAGUCGAGCACACACACACGCACUGCACACGCUGAGCUAUGCAGGCACACGCACUGCGCAGAUGGGGAAAACUUAAAAAUUAUUUGACCUCUAAAACUGAAAGAAGAAAAGUAUUUGACCUCAAUAAUAACUAAAGAAACUUGAAUGAAAACGACACUGUGGCUGUGCCUUUAUCUUUGCCCACUAAUCAAAAAGAUCGGUAACCUUCAGAACUGGAGAGAGUAAAGAAAUGAGCUCGCACCUGCUGUCGGUAGGAAUAAAAAUCCCUACGACCUUUUUGAGGGUCAUUUGUCAAUAGGUACAUGAACUUAAAACGCCUUCACUGAGUAACCCAGCCAUCUCUCCCCUACAGAUUUAUCUUCCAAAAUCGUGGCACGAAUGAGUAAAGACGUAAGUACAGGGGCAUUCACUGUACCGUGGCUUACGAGAGAAAACACUCGUAGAAGUUAGAUUUCCACGGCAGAGCAUGGGGUAGCCGUGCAGUGGAAUUGUCCUCAACUCUUCACAGACAACGGAGAUCCAGGUAAAGAGGGAACUUUUUUUUCUGAGCACUUGCCAUUUUUCUGAGCACAUGAUCUCAUUUAACUCACUCCACACUUUGUAAAGUAGGCGAUGUUGUCAUCAUCUACACGUUGCGGAAGAGGCACAGAGAGGUUAUUAACUUCCACAACAUCACACAGCUGGGAGAAGUCAGAGCUGGUAUUGGAACCAAGAAGUGAGUUGCCUGUGGAACCCAGCAGGAAGGGGGUCACUGACAAAAGUUGUGCUAAGUGACAAAAAACCAAGUUGCAGAAGAUGUAGCUUAACCACAUUUUGGCGAAAAUACAUGUGACCGUGUAUAUGAUGUAUACAUUUAUACGUACGUCUGCAUUACAAUCAUUAUAGAAAGAGUAAUUUGAUGGGAGUGGCUGAAGGGGCAGCGAGAGAAAGUUGAUCUAUUUUCUUCCCCCAAAAUGAUGGGAUUAAAAAAAUAAAACUAGCCGCUCUGUUCCCCUCUGUUUUUAUUUUUGUUUUAUUACCCAUGCCCACUUGACUUGAAUGAAAUAAAAGUGGCCCCGUCUGGUAACAAAAAUACAUCCUUGAGAAAAAUAACACGUCCAGUUCACACCAGAAAUGAAAAACCCCCGUUUGGGAAAUGCAGCCUUUGAUAGUUAUUAUUUAGCAGUAGAUACAUUACUUUAACUAAAGGCUUUAAAAAUAAUUUAAAAGGUUCUACGUCGUCACUGCGGAGAAGGUGGAAUUACGGAGCUGGGAGCGUGAGCUGGUCACCUCCUGGUCAUCUCCUGGGAGCUGGGCCGAGCGCACCGUGGGCCGUGCUAUGCUUACUUCUCUGUGUUCUUCCCGGCAUCCUGUUUCCCUGACGUCCUCCUGC